rnacentral:rRNA from 1 species
CCUGGCUCAGGACGAACGCUGGCGGCGUGCCUCCUACAUGCAAGUAGACCGCUGAAGGAGGAGCUUGCUUCUCUGGAUGAGUUGCGAACGGGUGAGUAACGCGUAGGUAACCUGCCUGGUAGCGGGGGAUAACUAUUGGAAACGAUAGCUAAUACCGCAUAAAAUUGAUUAUUGCAUGAUAGUCAAUUAAAAGGUGCAAUUGCAUCACUACCAGAUGGACCUGCGUUGUAUUAGCUAGUUGGUGGGGUAACGGCUCACCAAGGCAACGAUACAUAGCCGACCUGAGAGGGUAAUCGGCCAAACGGGAACUGGGACAGGGCCAGACUCCUACGG